AAAGGAGAUGGAGAGAGAUAGAAAGAGUCCACAGCUCAGAUGAGAAGACAAGGUAAUUAAUUACUCUUUUCCUCCGUAUAAUCCUUCAGCUAUUCUGAUAUGUGGAAUAUAUAUAGAUAUUAAUUCUUUAAUAAUUUUUUAAAUAAAUAAAAAUCAAUGAACAUCAAUUUUCCCAGCGUGAGUUUUCAGUUCCAGAGUCUCCAUUGCUGAGUGAUCCCGUUGUAAUUUUAUAAUUAUUUUGUAUCAUAGAAGCUGCAAAUGCAUGUGUAUGUACUUAGUUAUGUCUAUAAAUGUCCAGAGAUUAACAAAGAAAUGCAUGUUUGUGGAGUGAAAUCCUUUGGUCAUACCCGACUUGCUAAUCAGUGUGAUUUUGCAAAACAAUGCGGAGUUUUUUUUUAUAUAAAAAAAAUUAAUUUAUAUUUUUUAAACUGUAGAUGCUCGUCCAAUGUUCCCAAAGAGACCCACUACUAUUAUGGGCUUUAGGGCUUUAUUGUGUUGUAGGUGGGUUCUUUGUAUUUGUUCAUUGAUCAUAUGUUCAAGGGUUGAGGGAGGAUGCUAUUGUGGAUGAUGAAUUUCAGUGGCAACAAUUGUAAGUCAUAACU
rnacentral:lncRNA from 1 species